GACGAACGCUGGCGGCGUGCUUAACACAUGCAGGUCGAACGGAAAGGCCCUGCUUUUGUGGGGUGCUCGAGUGGCGAACGGGUGAGUAACACGUGAGUAAUCUGCCCUUGACUUUGGGAUAACUUCAGGAAACUGGGGCUAAUACCGGAUAGGAGCUCCUGCUGCAUGGUGGGGGUUGGAAAGUUUCGGCGGUUGGGGAUGGACUCGCGGCUUAUCAGCUUGUUGGUGGGGUAGUGGCUUACCAAGGCUUUGACGGGUAGCCGGCCUGAGAGGGUGACCGGCCACAUUGGGACUGAGAUACGGCCCAGACUCCUACGGGAGGCAGCAGUGGGGAAUAUUGCACAAUGGGCGGAAGCCUGAUGCAGCAACGCCGCGUGCGGGAUGACGGCCUUCGGGUUGUAAACCGCUUUCGCCUGUGACGAAGCGUGAGUGACGGUAAUGGGUAAAGAAGCACCGGCUAACUACGUG
rnacentral:rRNA from 1 species